GACGAACGCUGGCGGCGUGCUUAACACAUGCAAGUCGAACGGAAAGGCCCUGCUUUUGUGGGGUGCUCGAGUGGCGAACGGGUGAGUAACACGUGAGUAACCUGCCCUUGACUUUGGGAUAACUUCAGGAAACUGGGGCUAAUACCGGAUAGGAGCUCCUGCUGCAUGGUGGGGGUUGGAAAGUUUCGGCGGUUGGGGAUGGACUCGCGGGUUAUCAGCUUGUUGGUGAGGUAGUGGCUUACCAAGGCUUUGACGGGUAGCCGGCCUGAGAGGGUGACCGGCGACAAUGCGACUGAGAGACGGCCCAGACUCCAACGGGAGGCAGCAGUGGGGAAUAUUGCACAAUGGGCGGAAGCGUGAUGCAGCAACGCCGCGUGCGGGAUGACGGCCUUCGGGUUGUAAACCGCUUUCGCCUGUGACGAAGCGUGAGUGACGGUAAUGGGUAAAGAAGCACCGGCUAACUACGUG
rnacentral:rRNA from 1 species